rnacentral:rRNA from 1 species
AGUAACGGCGAGUGAAGCGGGAAAAGCUCAAAUUUAAAAUCUGGUGGCCUUUGGCCAUCCGAGUUGUAAUUUAGAGAAGCGUCUUCCGCGCUGGACCGUGCACAAGUCUCCUGGAAUGGAGCGUCAUAGAGGGUGAGAAUCCCGUCUUUGGCACGGACUCCCGGUGCUUCUGUGAUGCGCUCUCAAAGAGUCGAGUUGUUUGGGAAUGCAGCUCAAAAUGGGUGGUGAACUCCAUCUAAAGCUAAAUACUGGCGAGAGACCGAUAGCGAACAAGUACCGUGAGGGAAAGAUGAAAAGCACUUUGGAAAGAGAGUGAAACAGUACGUGAAAUUGUUGAAAGGGAAACGCUUGAAGUCAGUCGCGUCGACCGAGACUCAGCCUUGCCUUGGCUUGGUGUGCUUCUCGGCUCGACGGGUCAGCAUCAAUUUCGAUCCUCGGAUAAUGGCAGGGGAAAGGUGGCACCUUUUUUAGGUGUGUUAUAGUCCUCUGUCGCAUGCGAGGGUCAGGAUUGAGGAACUCAGCAUGCGCCUCUGGGUGCCGGGGCCUUGGCCUACGUUACGUGCUUAGGAUGCUGGCAUAAUGGCUUUAAACGACCCGUCUUGAAACACGGACCAAGGAGUCUAACAUACCCGCGAGUGUUCGGGUGGAAAACCCGUGCGCGUAAUGAAAGUAAAAGUUGGGACCUCUGUCGUGGAGGGCACCGACGCCCGGACCAGACCUUCUGUGACGGCUCUGCGGUAGAGCGUGUAUGUUGGGACCCGAAAGAUGGUGAACUAUGCCUGAAUAGGGUGAAGCCAGAGGAAACUCUGGUGGAGGCUCGUAGCGAUUCUGACGUGCAAAUCGAUCGUCAAAUUUGGGUAUAGGGGCGAAAGACUAAUCGAACCAU